AUCAGAAGGCCUGGGCAGACUUGGCCAGCCACCUGGAGCACUGUGCCCUUAAACUCUGGGCAUUCACUGGUGACCCACAGACACUGCUUUUUGGAGGACAGGGCAGAGUUGACCAUCCCAGUCUUGCCUGGAGGUCAUAGGACCGUUGUCACUGCAGCCUCAGGCCUGAUGGAUAAUCCCAUGACCCUCCAGAUCUGAGCCACGACCCACUCUGGGCCCUGCCGUGGGGGAGGCGGUGGGCCCGUGGGGGCUGCCUCACUGGCCUCCCUCGUCCUCUAUUCCGGGGUGGGGGUGGCUCUCAGCACCCUGGGGAAAAGGGUGGGGUCGAUGACUUGUCCCUGGCUCCCUCUUCCACCCAACCCUCCCCUCACCCCAUGCCUGCCAUAACCGCAGCUUCAGAGAAAGGUGCCACACUCGCUUGGCUGACAAUGUCGGGGAGUCCCCUGGGCUCCACACCAGGGCGUGUGCCGUUGGAAAGCCACAGUGACUGAAUCAUGUCCUUUUCAGCCAAAACUGGAAGACAGCCCAGCUCCCUGUCUUCAGGUGACCAGAUCUCUAAGUCACACUACUGGCCCCAGGGUCAAGUCCAGGCUCCCCAGCUGGGGCAUAUCCCAGGCUGAGUCCAGGCCUUGCACAGCUCCCUCCUUCCUCCCUGCAUGUGCUCUGAGCCUCCAGCCCGAUGCCUGGGAUGCCGAUGCCCCUUGGGCCCCAGACCCUACUACUCUUGAGUGACAGGCCUCUUCCUGGGGGUUUCUGUGUAUCCUCUGUGCAUCCCUCACAUCACCCACAUUAGAGUCCCUUCCUGUGAGGACAGAAGGGCCCUGAAGAGAGAGCUGGGCCCUGCAGAGAGAGCUGGCCCCUGGUGAGCUCCGCUUUCCUGCACUGACCCCUCCUGGGCUGCAGCUUCCCACCUGGCAGCUGCCGCCCCCCACGGCCGUGGUCCGAGGUCACCUGUCGUUCCUGUCCCCGCCACUCACCAAGCGCUCCCAGGUUCUCCGUCUGGAAGACCCUCUGUAGCGGGGGGAUGUAAAUGACUGCCAGCUGCCCCAGGAUGGACCCAAGGACGGAGUAGAGGAACAUGUGGUUCCUGAGAAAGCCGAUCUCAAAUAUCAGCUUGGUCUGCGGGGAGAAGGUCACACAGGGGAUUGUGUGCUGUCCACACCCCAGGUACAGGCAGGGGAGCUCUGGCUGUCCGUGCUGAGCCAGAGCUGCUCAAUGCUGUGGGCAGGGCCGGGGCAUUGCUGUUGAGAACACGCUGCAGCUCUGCAGCGAGGAGGGUCAGCCCGGGUCUCACCUGAGAGCGGCAGCUCAAGGCGUUGAAGAGAUCAAAAAACACAAAACAAGUGAACGUCAUCGUCGUGGUGCGGGGAGUGCUUGCUCUGUCUUCAGGCAUCUGGAAGGUGAGUACAAAGAUGUGAGCUGUGGCAGGAGGGCAGGGACUGCAGUCCCCAGCGUCUGCACCGCACCAGGGCUUAGAGAACAGGCCGGGGUGGCCCUCGCUCACCUCCUUCCAGAAGAUAAAGAGGGUCCCGCUGAUGAUGACGGCCGCAGACAUGAGGAUCUUCAGGAUGAGGGCUCUGCUGAGGAUGGUGUCCUUCACACUCCUUGGUGGCUGCCUGAAGGCGUCUUUGUCAACGGGCUCUACCCCCAAGCUGUUCCGAACAAGACAUGGACACUUUGAAAUGAACCAGGAAUGAAAUAAAAGACCCUUGAAACAGCUGUGCCUGAGCCUCCCAGGCCAAGUUGGCACAGGUGACAGGGCCAGGCAUUUGCUGAAAGCCCCCAGGCAUCGCACCUGCCCUCCUCGGCACCUUCCAGAAGCCCCAGAGCCUGGGUCCAUGGGCAGCUGUGCCCCUCCAUCUGUCCGGCAGACAGUGAAGGAAGACCACCCAGUAAGGCCAACCACACACAGUUCCUUACACCCAGGUGAUCUCCAUCACCCCGAGGGGACCCCCCACGUUGAGCCUGGAGAAACAGGCUCCAGGCUCCACCCUCCGCAGGGCCCCUCAUCGGCCGAGGGAGACCUGCCUCCAGCCAACUCCACACAGCAGGGUUGAGGCAAGACCAGCAGCGGGCGGUAUGGUGGGAGCAGCCGGUGAGGCCCCACUGCUCAGACACAGCUGAGGCCAGCUUUGUGGUCCCACUUCUGCUCCCAGGGAGAGCUGGCAGGAGAGGUAACCCUCACACUCGACUUUGGGGACACAAAUGAGGACUCUUUCCCUUGGCAGCUGUCACUGGUGAUAGCAGCACUGAGCUCCAGCGGAAGCAAUGGCUCUGUGCUCAUACGGUUACGCACGUGUGGCCAGAUGGGUCCCCUGACUUCAAAGCGCAUUCCUUCCCCCACACCACUUGGCCAGCUUGUUGAAGGGGAUAUUAAGUCGCGGAGCGGGUAGACUCCUGAGCACCUACUGAGUGGCAAGCCUUUUAUCUCUAGACAUCAGGGAUGAAACCACAAACUCCGCCUCCAUGAAGCUGAUGUUCUAAAGGGGGGACAGAUCACAAUCAGAUCCAUAAGGAAAAGUGUGUGUGGUGUGUGUGUGUGGUUGUGGUGUGUGUGUGUAUCUUCCUCUCUAGGGAAAAAUACAGCAGGGUGAGGGGAGUGAGUGGGAGUGCAAUCAGGGAAGACUUCCUGAAGGCAGUGACUGGAAUGAAGAAUGAGAACGAGCCAUGCACGUUGCCCAGAGAGAGCAUCCAGGCAGAGGGAGCAGAAAGUUCCAUCCUCGCCAAGCUCUGCCGGUCCAGGUAUUUUCUCCUCUGCCUUCUACUCCCAGUCUCACUCCAGUGCAACACACUUCAGUUUUCUGGGAACUCCUAAUGGAAAGUGGCUGUAUUUGUUCAUCCCUAUAUCAUUGGGGCACAGCCAGCAGCUCCUGGAGGAAGCCCCGCAGGUGGGUAAGGAGACACAGGGCUCCCAGCCGGCCCGGCCUCACCUCUGUGCUGGUGGCCCAUCCAUGAUGAUGUUGAUCCACAGGAUCUGCAUGGCGUUGAGGGGGCUGGGCAGGUUGAACACGGUGGACAGAGUGAUGAGACUCAGGGCAGAGAUGCUCCUGCGGGGCAC
rnacentral:antisense_RNA from 1 species